CAGAAUAUAUGAUGAGAACGAGCAAAAUAGGCGUUUCUUAAACAAACGUUUAUCUCUAAUAUCUGCCACACAGCGGAAAUAACAGCAGUAGUUUUCAGUCUGCAGCAGAUUAAAGCUGCUUCCUGUUUCCUGUUUAUUAAGAAGACAUCAGACUGGAACUCAUUUUACUUCUGCUUCAGUUUGAAGGUGAAAACCUUUUUAUAGAAACAUAUUAAUUCAUAAACUCAAAAGUUUCUUUGGUUUCAGUUUUGGAUAGAAGUCUAUGACGAUGUGGAGAAUUUGUUUCUGUGAAAAAGUUAGAUUUCAUCUGUUUUUGCUUUUGCUUCCUAUUACAUCAUCAAAAAUGCAUCAUACUGACAUUUGAUUCAUAAAAUGUCUAUAAGGGAGAAAAUACUUUUUAUAGUAAUCAAUACUGCARAGAGUUUGUGAACGAAGAAAUAAGAAAUGAACUUUAUCUCAUGAUUGAUUGAGUUCAAGUCGAGAACUUUUCAAAUAAUCGAUGUUUUCCAGUGGAGGAAAUAUCCACUUACUCUUCCACAGACGCAGCUCUGCCCUGUUUCAGAGGCUCAGUGUCUGAGCAAUGCUCCGCUGUUAUUUGGCUUCACUAUAGCGACACAAACACUCAGCUGGAAGUGGGUCAGAGUGGUUCUGGCCGGCUGGCGGUGGACCGGAGCUGCUCUCUGAUCGUCUCCUCCAUCACUGCUGAUGACGCCGGGCGCUACACCUGCAGGCGGCGGGAGGGAGAAAACGUUUGAGUGUUUCUGUUUGUUUCGACCAUUUCCCUGGUUUUCCCAGAGUCUUGUCACGUUACGGUGUUCUCCCUGGAAGAAGCAGAUAAAUGUCCCCUGCUCAGAGAGGAACAUCCGCUGGCUGGAUGCAGCUGGAGCCGAGCUGCAGGGUGAAGCCGCUCAGGUCCAGCUCUGUGCUUCCAAUCUGACUGAAUCUUCAGGAUGACAGAAACAAAAUAUUGACCUGCCAGAUCUUCUACUUCAACAAAGUGAGGACAGAGGCGAACUACCCACCGUUUUAUAAAGACAGACAUCUUCUCCUGCUCAGAGGAAACCACUGCGCAUG